rnacentral:rRNA from 1 species
AGCGAACGCUGGCGGCAGGCCUAACACAUGCAAGUCGAACGAACUCUUCGGAGUUAGUGGCGGACGGGUGAGUAACACGUGGGAACGUGCCUUUAGGUUCGGAAUAACUCAGGGAAACUUGUGCUAAUACCGAAUGUGCCCUUCGGGGGAAAGAUUUAUCGCCUUUAGAGCGGCCCGCGUCUGAUUAGCUAGUUGGUGAGGUAAAGGCUCACCAAGGCGACGAUCAGUAGCCGGUCUGAGAGGAUGACCAGCCACAUUGGGACUGAGACACGGCCCAAACUCCUACGGGAGGCAGCAGUGGGGAAUCUUGCGCAAUGGGCGAAAGCCUGACGCAGCCAUGCCGCGUGUAUGAUGAAGGUCUUAGGAUUGUAAAAUACUUUCACCGGUGAAGAUAAUGACUGUAGCCGGAGAAGAAGCCCCGGCUAACUUCGUGCCAGCCGCCGCAGUAAUAC